rnacentral:rRNA from 1 species
CCUACGGGAGGCAGCAGUGAGGAAUAUUGGUCAAUGGGCGCGAGCCUGAACCAGCCAAGCCGCGUGAAGGAUGACUGCCCUCCGGGUUGUAAACUCUUUUUAUAAAGGAAUAAAGUGAGGCACGUGUGCCUUUUUCUAUGUACUUUAUGAAUAAGGAUCGGCUAACUCCGCGCCAGCAGCCGCGGUAAUACGGAGGAUCCGAGCGUUAUCCGGAUUUAUUGGGUUGAAAGGGAGCGUAGAUGGGUUGUUAAGUCAGAUGUGAAAGUUUGGGGCUCAACCGUAAAAUUGCAAUUGAUACUGGCAGCCUUGAGUACAGUUGAGGUAGGCGGAAUUCGUGGUGUAGCGGUGAAAUGCUUAGAUAUCAGGAAGAACUCCGAUUGCGAAGGCAGCCUACUAAACUGCCACUGACAUUGAUGCUCGAAAGUGUGGGGAGCAAACAGGAUUAGAUACCCGAGUAGUC